rnacentral:piRNA from 1 species
UGUCCAUUUGUGAUGCAAAAGGGUAUGUA